GAGAAACUCAGCACAAUGUGAAAAUGAAAAGUUUGAUAUAGAUUUGCAGCAAUGAAUGGACGAGCAAACUCCAAAUAAAAACAACAACAAACUUUAUUGCAAAAGCUUAGUGGAAUUCACAAGUUAGAUAAAGCUUCAAAAGUUUACAAAGGCCUAGCAACAGCUGACGUAGAGGUAAGAAAUUUCAAGAAAAUCCGGUUUUCUCCGGUUAAAUUAAAGGUUAUCCUACGGAUAGUUAAACGCGGUACUAAACGGGCUUCGUACAACGCAAUUUUAUCGGCCGUUUAAC